rnacentral:rRNA from 1 species
AGUGAACGCUGGCGGUAGGCCUAACACAUGCAAGUCGAACGGCAGCACAGUAAGAGCUUGCUCUUACGGGUGGCGAGUGGCGGACGGGUGAGGAAUACAUCGGAAUCUACUUUUUCGUGGGGGAUAACGUAGGGAAACUUACGCUAAUACCGCAUACGACCUACGGGUGAAAGCAUGGGAUCUUCGGACCUUGCGCGAUUGAAUGAGCCGAUGUCGGAUUAGCUAGUUGGCGGGGUAAAGGCCCACCAAGGCGACGAUCCGUAGCUGGUCUGAGAGGAUGAUCAGCCACACUGGAACUGGGACACGGUCCAGACUCCUACGGGAGGAAGCAGUGGGGAAUAUUGGACAAUGGGCGCAAGCCUGAUCCAGCCAUACCGCGUGGGUGAAGAAGGCCUUCGGGUUGUAAAGCCCUUUUGUUGGGAAAGAAAAGCAGCAGGUUAAUACCCCGCUGUUCUGACGGUACCCAAAGAAUAAGCACCGGCUAACUUCGUG